AGAGUUUGAUCCUGGCUCAGAUUGAACGCUGAUGCCUUACACAUGCAAGUCGAACGGCAGCGGACCUUCGGGUGCCGGCGAGUGGCGAACGGGUGAGUAACGUAUCGGAACGUACCUUUCAGUGGGGGAUAACGUAGCGAAAGUUACGCUAAUACCGCAUAUUCUCUGAGGAGGAAAGCAGGGGACCUUCGGGCCUUGCGCUGAUUGAGCGGCCGAUAUCAGAUUAGCUAGUUGGUGGGGUAAAGGCCUACCAAGGCGACGAUCUGUAGCGGGUCUGAGAGGAUGAUCCGCCACACUGGAACUGAGACACGGUCCAGACUCCUACGGGAGGCAGCAGUGGGGAAUUUUGGACAAUGGGCGCAAGCCUGAUCCAGCCAUGCCGCGUGAGUGAAGAAGGCCUUCGGGUUGUAAAGCUCUUUCGGCCGGGAAGAAAUCGCAUCGGUUAAUACCCGGUGUGGAUGACGGUACCGGAAUAAGAAGCACCGGCUAACUACGUGCCAGCAGCCGCGGUAAUACGUAGGGUGCGAGCGUUAAUCGGAAUUACUGGGCGUAAAGCGUGCGCAGGCGGUUUUGUAAGACAGGCGUGAAAUCCCCGGGCUCAACCUGGGAACUGCGCUUGUGACUGCAAGGCUAGAGUAUGGCAGAGGGGGGUGGAAUUCCACGUGUAGCAGUGAAAUGCGUAGAGAUGUGGAGGAACACCGAUGGCGAAAGCAGCCCCCUGGGCCAAUACUGACGCUCAUGCACGAAAGCGUGGGUAGCAAACAGGAUUAGAUACCCUGGUAGUCCACGCCCUAAACGAUGUCAACUAGGUGUUGGGAGGGUAAAACCUUUUAGUACCGGAGCUAACGCGUGAAGUUGACCGCCUGGGGAGUACGGCCGCAAGGUUAAACUCAAAGGAAUUGACGGGGAACCCGCACAGCGUGAUGAUGUGAUAUCGAUGCACGCGAAAA
rnacentral:rRNA from 1 species